rnacentral:rRNA from 1 species
UACAGAGGAUGCAAGCGUUAUCUGGAAUGAUUGGGCGUAAAGCGUCUGUAGGUGGCUUUUUAAGUCCGCCGUCAAAUCCCAGGGCUCAACUCUGGACAGGCGGUGGAAACUACCAAGCUGGAGUACGGUAGGGCAGAGGGAAUUCCGGUGGAGCGGUGAAAUGCGUAGAGAUCGGAAAGAACACCAACGGCGAAAGCACUCUGCUGGGCCGACACUGACACUGAGAGACGAAAGCUAGGGGAGCGAAUGGG